rnacentral:rRNA from 1 species
GUCUUUUUUUUCUUCUUUGGCUGUCCGAGUUGUAAUCUAGAGAAGUGCUUACCUGCGCUGGACCAUGUAUAAGUCUCCUGGAAUGGAGCGUCACAGAGGGUGAGAAUCCCGUCCUUGACAUGGGCUGCCAGUGUGUUGUGGUGCGCUCUCAAAGAGUCGAGUUGUUUGGGAAUGCAGCUCUAAAUGGGUGGUAAACUCCAUCUAAAGCUAAAUAUUGGCGAGAGACCGAUAGCGAACAAGUACCGUGAGGGAAAGAUGAAAAGGACUUUGGAAAGAGAGUUAAACAGUAUGUGAAAUUGUUGAAAGGGAAACGCUUGAAGUCAGUUAUGUUGGUUAGGGAUCAACCUAGCUAUUUUUUGCUGGGUGAAUUUCCUAGUCUGACAGGCCAACAUCAGUUCUGACUGCUGGAAAAGAGCAGAGGGAAUGUGGCACCUUUGGGUGUGUUAUAGCCUUUUGUCAUAUGUGGCAGUUGGGACUGAGGGAUGCAGCAUGCCGUGAGGCUGGGUUUCGACCAUGUUCAUGCUUAGGAUGUUGGCUUUUAAUGGCUUCAAUCGACCCGUCUUGAAACACGGA